UACGUAGGGUGCAAGCGUUGUCCGGAAUUAUUGGGCGUAAAGAGCUCGUAGGCGGUUUGUCGCGUCUGCUGUGAAAACGCGAGGCUCAACCUCGCGCCUGCAGUGGGUACGGGCAGACUAGAGUGCGGGAGAGGAGAGUGGAAUUCCUGGUGUAGCGGUGAAAUGCGCAGAGUAUCAGGAAGAACACCCGUGGCGAAGGCGGCUCUCUGGAACGCAACUGACGCUGAGACGCGAAAGCGUGGGGAGCAAACAGG
rnacentral:rRNA from 1 species